UUCCCAAGCACCUGUGACAAUGCUUGGCAUGUAGUAAGUGUUUAUAUAUAUAUAGUUUCUUUUUUUAAAGACUAUUUUCUUUUCUUUUUUUUUUUUUUGUCUUUUGUCUUUUGUCUUUUGUUGUUGUUGUUGCUAUCUCUUGGGCUGCUUCCGCGGCAUAUGGAGGUACCCAGGCUAGGGGUCGAAUCAGAGCUGCAGCCACCGGCCUACGCCAGAGCCACAGCAACGCGGGAUCCGAGCCGCGUCUGCAACCUACACCACAGCUCACGGCAACGCCGGAUCGUUAACCCACUGAGCAAGGGCAGGGACCGAACCCGCAACCUCAUGGCUCCUAGUCGGAUUCGUUAACCACUGCACCACGACGGGAACUCCAAAGACUAUUUUCUUAAAGAGUAGUUUUAGGUUCAGCAAAAUUACUGCAAGGAAAGUACAAAGAUUUCCCAUACAACUUCUUCCCCCAUAUUUGUAUAUCCACCCCACCACGGUGGUAUGGUUGUUACAACUGAUGAAACUGUAUUGAUACAUCUUAAUUGUCCAAAAUCCAUAAUUUGUAUUAGGGUUCACUUUUGGUGUUGUAUUUUCUGUGGAUUUUGACAAAAGUGUAAUGACAUGUAUCUAUCAUUAUAGUAUCAGACAGAGUGUUUUCUCUGCUCAAAAAACCCUCUCUCUCCACCUACUCAUCUUUCCCCAAACAUUGCCACCCCCUCCAACCUUUGGGAACCACUGAUUUUUUUCUUUUUUACUGUCUCCUUAGUUUUACCUUUUCCAGAACCUCAUAUGGUUGGAAUCAUAUAGUAUGUAGCCUUUUCAGACUAGCUCUUUCACUGAAAAAUAUGGUCUUAAUGUUCUUCUAUGUUUUUUUCACGGCUCGAUAGUUGAUUUCUUUCUAGUACUGAAUAAUAUUCCACUGUCUGAAUGUACCACAGUCUAUGUAUCCAUUCACCUGUUGAAAGACAUCUUGGUAGUUUCCAAGUUUUGUCAAUUAUAAAUAAAGCUGCAACAAACAUCUGCAUGCAGGUUUUUGUGUGGAUUUAAGUUUUCAACACCUUUGUGUAGAUACCAAUGAAUACUCUUACUGGAUCUUAUGGUAAGAGUACGUUUGUUUUGCAGGAAAUCACAAACUGCCUUCCAACAUGGUCAUAACAUUUUGCAUUCCCAUCAGCAAGGAAUGAGAGUUCUUGUCCACCUCCUUGUGAGCAUUGUGUGUGUUGUCAGUGUUCUGGAUUUUGGACAUUCUAAUAGAUCAAUAAAUCUAGUAGAUCUAAUAGGUCAACAAAUAUUGAUGAAUGAAUCUCACCUACAUAAUAGGACUGGUAUGACAAUAACGAAGGAGCUGAGAGCUUUGUUAAGUGCUAUAUAUGUGCAUUAUUCCCAUUAGGAAUGAGAGUACAGCUGCCAUCCUAUUGUCAUCCUAUGGUAAAUAUGGACAUAUCAAGGGGACAGCAUUUCUCUGUUCUAACCCUGUGACUCAUCAGUGGUUUAUCUUCAGAGAGCAGGAAGCCAUGCUUGUCAGUCACCAAUUUUUUAAAAUAAUUUUUUCCCUUCGUAAUGAGUUCACAGUAACUUGCUUCAGUGGGAUGGAAAUAAUUGAUGACAAUUAUUUUAACAAAUAGAUUGUCUUUAACACUGCCUAAUGAAAACUUAGCUGUAUUUUUGCCUAGAUAACAAAGGCUCAAGUUAUCAAAAAGACUGCUGACUCUAAUUAGGUAAGAAUACCAGUACAGCUUCAUGUUGAAAUUUUUCUACCAUAGCUUUGAGUUCAUAAAUAUGAAAAGAGGAAAGGCUAACCACAUGGUUUUUAAUGCAUCAAGAAUUCAAGUAAUAGUUAAAUGUUUAAAAUGUUUUCUGGAGUAGUUACCAUCGCGGUGCAACAGAAAUGAAUUGGACUAGGAACCACGAGGUUGAAGGUUCGAUCCCUGGCCUCACUCAGUGGGUUAAGGAUCUGGCAUUGCCAUGAGAUGUGGUGUAGGUCACCGACUUUGCACAGGUCUGGCAUUGCUGUGGCUAUGGUGUAGGCCAGCAGCUAUAGCUCCGAUUGGACCCCUAGCCUGGCUACCUCCAUAUGCUGUAGGUGUGGCCCUAAAAAAGUAAAAAAUAAAAAUAAAAAAAUAAAGGUUCAGUUGUCUAAGAUCUAUGUUUUCUGAGGUUCAGUUGUCUAAGAUCUAUGUCUAUGAGCUAUAAAAAUAGGAAAUAAGGAGUCCUUGUUGUGGUACGGUGGAAAUGAAUCCAAUUAGGAACAAUGAGGUUGUGGGUUCGAUCCCUGGUCUCAUUCAGUGGGUUAAGGAUCUGCUAAAAAAAAGCCAAAAAAAAAAAAAAAAGAAAAAAAAAAAAAAGAAAAAAGAAAGAAAAAAUAGGAAAAAAAGGUCUAAAUAGUUUUCUCUAAAAGAGUAUAAAAUAGGCUUUAAAUUAAGGUUGACCAAAUUCUUAGAUGUUAAGAUCCUUUUAUCACUGGGUAACUGUUUAAUGGGAAGAACAACUUAUAACAGCUACUAAUAAUUGCAUCUUGGUUUUCAAUUUACUGUUACUUUUAUAUACAUAAGUAUAAUUUAAUCUUUCACUCUUUCAGCCAAGUAUAAUUAUUCUGAUUUUCAGCAAAGGAGACUAAAAUCAGAAUGGUUAAGUGGUUUUCCAGAGUGUGCACAGGAUGGGAUGUUGUGGAGGACAAAUUUAGCCCCUUCCUGAGUGUGUCUUGGAUUCCAAUUAAUAACUCAAAGAGUUGUCUAAAUUAUUGUUGUUUAAACAUUAUUUUGUUGUAUCUGACAUAUUCCUGGAAACAAGUGGGCUGUCAGGGAAGAUUUUUUAAAGAAUACUUUAUACUCAACUAUUUCCUUUUUCUGCUCUUUCCACUAUUUAACUUUUACUUCAACAUUGUCAUUAGUCUUAUGAUUGCUCUUCAAAUUGGCAAAUUUGAUGGUGUCUUUGUCUUUCUCUCUACUAUUUGAAAUUAACAACUCAUCUUAAUUUGAAAUACUUUCCCUUCUCACUGGCAUAAUCCAUCCAUACCUCUGUGGUUAAUUUCAGAGCUUGUUCAGUGGUUCCACAGGCAUUUCCAACUUUACAUGUCUGAAUCCAAACUCAUUUUCCUUCUUGUGUUAAUGAACUUAAUGAUCAGUGCUAUGACCACCCUGGUAGUGUGUGUGUAAUGGUUAAUUUUAAAUGUCACUUUGGCUAUGCUAUUGUGUCCAGCUGUUUGGUCAAAUACUAGUCAUGAUGUUGCUGGAAGGUAUUUUGUAGGUGUCAUUAACAUUUACAAACACUUGACUUUAAAUAAAGCGGAUCAUCCUUUAUAGUGCAGAAUGGGCCUCAUUCAAUCAGUUGAAGACCUUAAGAGUAAAAACUGAUGUUUCCCAGAGAAGAAAGAAUUCUUCUUCAAGGCUAUAAUAUGGAAAGCUUGCAUGAAUUUCCAGCCUUCUGGUCUACCACAUGGAUGUCUGACUCAAGACUGCAACAUCAGUUUUUACCAGUUUCCAGCCUGCUGGCCUGCCCUAUACAUUUCAGAAAUGCCAGAUGCUCACAAUCACAUGAGACAAUUCUUUAAAGUCAAUCAAUCAAUUAAUCAAUUUUAAUCUUUCUCUGCUAUUGGUUUUGUUUCUUGGAGAACAUUGACUAGUAUACUGCCUAAGUCAGAAAUGAAGUAUUUUUCCUAGAUUUGUCUAACUCAUUGAUCUCUUCACCCUAUUAUCCAGUGUGAACUGAAGUUUAGCACUUGCCAUCAGCCUCUACAUGGAGAGUCAGUUAGGUCCAGGCCUAAGCCAGCAGUAAGGAUUUUGGAAUGAGAAUGAAGUUGAUGUUUCUAUGACUCAUCUCUUCUGUCAAUAUAUUGAUGCCUUAGAGCCCUCUAGACCCACUUUGCUGGCCUGAGGCCUUGAUAAUGGUGUUCAGACCCUGGUGUAGAGAUCCAGUCAUGACCCUACUCAGAGGGUCCCUUGUGCCCUGGGAAGAUGGAUGGAAGGCCUGUGUGGGCCCUGGAGGCAGGCUGAGGCCACCUAGGCAGGCUAUUCCGGGGUCCCAGGACCCAUGUGGAGAUUCCACGUGGGUUUGUCCUCUUGGUGCUGUGGAUUCUUUCCCCUGGAGAAGGGGGUGCACACUGCCAAAGGUCAGCAUGGGAGGCCUCGUGCAGGGGACCAGGGUUUAAGGGUGUGGUAUGGUCCCUCUCUUUUUCUUCUCAUAAAUUUGAAAAACAUAAAAAAAUUACAAAGUAUAUAAAACCCCAAUUACCUAUAUUCCCAUCACCCACAAUUAAACCUCUGUCAACACUUGGGCACAUUUGCUUCUCAUCUUUUUUCCUAUGUAGUUAUUAAACACAACUAUACUAGUAAAAUAUGAAAAUAUUACCACUUCUUGGUAAAAUUGUUAAAUGUAAUUUCAAGCUUAAUGGCAAGUUGGAAGAAUAACACAAUGCAUGCCUCUAUAUCUAAUAUCCAGAUAAACCAGUUGCUAAUGUUUUGCCUCAUUUGCUUUAUUGAUCUCUCUUUUUUCUUUCCUCUUCUCUUCCCCUCCCAUCUCUCUCUCUUCCCCUCUCGAUCUUUCUCUCAUUCUAGCUUUCUCUGAUUGUUUUUUUGAGCCACUGAGGAUAAAUUCUAGUCUUUUCUUAUUCCAAAAUUCUCCAUGUGUGUCCACGACAAACAAGGACAUUCCAACAAUCAAAAUCAGGAAAUUUUUGGAGUUCCCAUCAUUGCUCAGUGGUAAUGAACCCAACUAGUAUCCAUGAGAAUACAGGUUCCAUCUCUGGCCUAGCUCAGUUGAGUUAAGUAAGGUUCUGGUGUUGUCAUGAACCAUGGUGUAGGUCACAGACUUGGCUUAGAUCUGGCAUUGCUGUCGCUGUGGCAUGGGCUGGCAGAUACAGCAAUGAUUCUACCCCUAGCCUGGGAACUUCCAUAUGCUGCAAGUGCAGCCCUUUAAAAGACCAAAAAAAAAAAAAAACAAAAAA
rnacentral:lncRNA from 1 species